rnacentral:rRNA from 1 species
GACGAACGCUGGCGGCGUGCUUAACACAUGCAAGUCGAACGAGAUCCAGCCGGUAGCAAUACCGGUGAAGAUCUAGUGGCGAACGGGUGAGUAACACGUGAGCAACCUGCCCCGAAGACCGGGAUAACAGCGGGAAACCGCUGCUAAUACCGGAUGUCCCCACCGGAUCGCAUGGUCUGGUGAGGAAAUGGAUUCCGCUUCGGGAGGGACUCGCGGCCUAUCAGCUUGUUGGUGAGGUAACGGCCCACCAAGGCGACGACGGGUAGCUGGUCUGAGA